UACGUAGGGGGCAAGCGUUGUCCGGAUUUAUUGGGCGUAAAGCGCGUGUAGGCGGCUUGGCAAGUCCGCUGUGAAAACUCGAGGCUCAACCUCGAGAUGUCGGUGGAAACUGCCUGGCUAGAGUCCGGAAGAGGAGUGUGGAAUUCCCGGUGUAGCGGUGAAAUGCGCAGAUAUCAGGAAGAACACCUAUGGCGAAGGCAGCACUCUGGGACGGUACUGACGCUGAGACGCGAAAAGCGUGGGGAGCGAACAGG
rnacentral:rRNA from 1 species